rnacentral:rRNA from 1 species
AUUGAACGCUGGCGGCAGGCCUAACACAUGCAAGUCGAACGGUAACAGAAAGCAGCUUGCUGCUUUGCUGACGAGUGGCGGACGGGUGAGUAAUGUCUGGGAAACUGCCUGAUGGAGGGGGAUAACUACUGGAAACGGUAGCUAAUACCGCAUAACGUCGCAAGCCCAAAGAGGGGGACCUUCGGGCCUCUUGCCAUCGGAUGUGCCCAGAUGGGAUGAGCUAGUAGGUGGGGUAAAGGCUCACCUAGGCGACGAUCCCUAGCUGGUCGGAGAGGAUGACCAGCCACAUGGGAACGGAGACAGGGUCCAGAGUCCUACGGGAGGCAGCAGUGGGGAAUAUUGCACGAUGGGCGCAAGCCUGAUGCAGCCAUGCCGCGUGUGUGAAGAAGGCCUUCGGGUUGUAAAGUACUUUCAGCGGGGAGGAAGGGAGUAAAGUUAAUACCUUUGCUCAUUGACGUUACCCGCAGAAGAAGCACCGGCUAACUCCGUG